GUAGCUGCCACAGGUGUCCUCUUGGGCUCUUCUACUGGAUUUCUCCAGCCAGGAGGGAUGCGCCAGCAGGUUCUGCAUGGACAUGUGGAAACUCUUCCUCAUGGCAAUACUGGCAGCCAGCAGUGAGGGAUCAGGGAAAUUAUUCUCCUUGAAGGCAAAACAUCUCCUUGGAAACUCGUGAAAAGCCCUUUCUGCUCUUUCGCAGUUUUGACC